GAUGAACGCUGGCGGCGUGCUUAACACAUGCAAGUCGAACGGACAGGCCCUGCUUUUGCGGGGUGCUCGAGUGGCGAAGGGGUGAGUAAAACGUGAGUAACCUGUACUUGACUUUGGGAUAACUUCAGGAAACUGGGGCUAAUACCGGAUAGGAGCUAUUGCAGCAUGGGGGGGGUUGGAAAGAUUCGGCGGUUGGGGAUGGACUCGCGGCUUAUCAGCUUGUUGGUGGGGUAGUGGAUUACCAAGGCUUUGACUGGUAGCCGGCCUGAGAAGGUGGCCGGCCACCUUAGUACUAAGAGACGGCCCAGACUCCUACGGUAGGCAGCAGUCGAGAGUAUUGCACAAUAGCCGGAAGCCUGAUACGGCAACGCCGCGUGCGGAAUGACGGCCUUCGGGUUAUAAACCACUGUCGCCUGUAACGAAGCGUGAUUGACGGUAAUUAGUAAAAAAGCACCGGCUAACUACGUG
rnacentral:rRNA from 1 species